CAUGUACUUCCUCCGUCCGGAAUUACUUGUCAUCAAAAUGAAUGUAUCUAGAACUAAAAAAUAUCUAGAUACAUCCAUUUCAAUGGCAAGUAUUUCUGAACGGAGGGAGUAAUUA
rfam:Triticum aestivum genome assembly, contig: Triticum_aestivum_CS42_TGACv1_scaffold_146331_2BS